AUAACACCGGGAAACCGGUGCUAAUACCGAAUAUUGAAACAUAAGUGGCAUCACUGAGUUUUGAAAGAAUUUCGGUGGAGGAUGACUUCGCGGCCUAUCAGCUAGUUGGUGAGGUAAUGGCUCACCAAGGCAACGACGGGUAGCCGGCCUGAGAGGGCGACCGGCCACACUGGGACUGAGACACGGCCCAGACUCCUACGGGAGGCAGCAGUGGGGAUAUUGGGCAAUGGAGGAAACUUUGACCCAGCGACGCCGCGUGCGGGAUGAAGGCCUUCGGGUUGUAAACCGCUUUCAGUAGGGAAGAAGCGAAAGUGACGGUACCUGCAGAAG
rnacentral:rRNA from 1 species